rnacentral:lncRNA from 9 species
CAAGUUCUUAACCCACUGAGCCACAGCGGGAACUCUUGCAAGAUGCUUUUUAUCUGUCAUCUAAUUUGAGUCCCAAGACAUUCCUCAAACCAAAUGGUGGUCGCACCUCCACUUUUAUAGAUGAACAAACAGGCCCCAGACAAGCUAUGAGAUUUGCCUGACACACACCCUGUAAAGAGAGCUUGGAUUAGAACGUGGAUUCUUCUAGUUCUAAAACUCUUUACUUUUCUAAACAUUAUCAGGUAUCAUGCAGUUGAAUUCCAAUCCAGGCCCCUCCAUGAAUGAUCUAGGCCAUCUCAUUUUCUCUUUAAAUUUACAUGUGGAAAAAUCACAUGGUCCAAAAUUACAAACCCGAUGAUUGGUGGGAAACCAUGAGCCAAGGAAGCCAAGCAUUUCCUGUAAUAGGGCUCCUUUAUUAGUUCUAAUUAAUCAAUAAGCAAUUUCCCUUCUAGAUUUUUGGUUCACAACACAAAUGUAGCAGGAAAAAGUGUAGCUCUAUUAAUUGCAGAGAUUUGCUUAAUUCAGUAUAAGCCAGACAUUCAGGAACUCAGUGAUAGCACAGUUCACUAAAUUUAAUUUCCCUUCUUGCUGUCCUCAAAGUAAUCAUAUUGCAUUAUUCCUCUCUCUUUCUAUCUCCUACCCCAGUUAUUUUUGUGCAUGUCUCAUAUAUCUAGGAAAGCUGAAAAUUACCACAACUUUGUUGAACCUCAGUUUUAUUACUUUUUAUGUACUGAAAGUCAACCAUUCGGGCAAGGUUCCGGUUCUCUGGCAAAUUGAAUUAUCCUCAGACCCUGGACUGGAGGUAUUAGCACCAGUUCUCAUUACAAAACAAACCAAAAAACAGCAGCAUCUCUUAUAACGUCACAGGGUGCUGGUGGAGCUGUCAAUCCCAAUACUUGGAUGCAGGCACGCGCUUUGAAAAGGAAAUCUCCUGAGAUUGAAGUUCCCUGUGUACUUUGUGACAUGCCAAUCAAGUUCACAUGUGAUGGAAAGAAAGAUCCGUUGCAUAUAGCAACUAGGAAUCACUCCACGAAGCUUUACAAAAAGUCUAUUAAUAUUGUAAAGCUGAAGGCCUCUAACAAAGUCAUCUGCUGUUUCUCAGAAGCCCUGCCCAGAGACGGCUGUCGGAGCCAGCAGGUGGAGAAUGAAGCUGUUUGCAAGGCCUCAAACAAGCCUGUUGCAGCUACCACGUCUUCAUAUGUCAGCCGGCGUCACUAUAUCCUCCAGCCCUAACCUAACUAAAUAAAAAUUCUCUGCUCGAAAGUUCUGUCCCUUUGGAAUUUCUGUGCCACCCAGUAAUGGGAGUCCCAGCUCCUCAGCCUAUUGACCCUUUUCAAGGGAGGAUCCUUAGAACAACUUUGGCUCCCUCUGUCCACCAGGAAAAGGAAAGAGCCACCCAGAAAUCUUGGGCUUCAGCUUUUGCAUUUGAAAACACAAAAGCCUUAGAAAAAGUCUACCUCCUAUUUGGAUACCUGUAAAUUUUCACUACCAAUGACCUCUUUAUUCUUAUGCCUUUGUAAAAACAAAAAAAUUCCUUUAAACAAAUUCUUAGUUUUUCUUUAUUGCACCAUACAUGGCCAUUGAAGGUGAAUUAAAAAUCCAGAAAGUCUGAAUCACUCCAGUUCUCCAACUGCUUUCAUUCUUCAAUUUAUAUGGAUUUUUAUUUUUCCAAAAAAUGAAAUGAUAGUGGGCAUGAUGUUUGGUAACCUCUUUUGCUUAGUAUAGCAUCACAAAUUUAUUUCAAUGUCUAUAAACAUUCUUGUGCAACGUUCUAAUGGCCACAUGGCAUUUCAUGUUGUGGACAUGCCAUGUUAUUUUCUUUCAGGUGCGCGUAUGCACAUGGAGAACCUCAGAGACAGAUGUUUGAGGCCAUCCUCUUCUUCUUCACACAUCAACCUCGAGCCAAGCUCUAUGUGUUGGUUCAUAAACUGUCAUACAUAGAGGACAAGGAGAUACCGAAGAGAGAGGCAGCCACUCCGGACUGGCAGGUGGCAGUUGUAAGAAGCAAGGGAACUUAUACAUGAGGCUUGUCUUGGGUGGCCAGAAGACACGUAGACCUCCGUGCCCACCCACCAGGAUCUUCAAAGCGGAUGUAGAGGCCUUCCUGGGAUUGUCAUGUAUACCAUACCAUGCAGAUGGUCUCAGUAACACCUUGCUCUCUCAAGGCUGCAUCCCUGGAAAUGGUUCCCAUUGUGGGAACACCACACAUGCGUUACAAGGAUGGGGAGGGGGCGGAAUGUAGAAACUCCAAUGGCCCGGAUCCAGCUUACAGGUCAACUGGUGAUGGUGUCUUCCCCAUGACGCUCCUCCAACACCACGUGCUUAAGAUUCAGCCAAGUUGCUCUAGCUGUAUCUCAGCCACCGCUUCAAGCUCCUGGUUGUUUCCAAGGACAGGAGAAAGAGAAAAAGGGAGACUCAAGCUGUUUAGAAAGCCCAGGAACCAGCUUGAAUGGAGAAGGGGAAGACGGAUGAAUGCUCAGGUUGUCUCCUGUCCUCUGCUUACCUUUGCAGGAUCUAGUACUAUGUCUUAUACAGCCAGAUGCUAG